rnacentral:rRNA from 1 species
UAGGGAAUAUUGGGCAAUGGAAGCAAUUCUGACCCAGCCAUGCCGCGUGAAGGAAUACAGCCCUAUGGGUUUUAAACUUCUUUUAUUAUAGAGUAAACGGAGGUACGUGUACCUCCCUGCAAGUAUAUGAUGAAUAAGGAUCGGCUAACUCCGUGCCAGCAGCCGCGGUAAUACGGAGGAUCCAAGCGUUAUCCGGAUUUAUUGGGUUUAAAGGGUGCGCAGGCGGACUAAUAAGUCAGGGGUGAAAAGU